rnacentral:rRNA from 1 species
ACAUGCAGUCGAGCGGAUCGAUGGGAGCUUGCUCCCUGAGAUCAGCGGCGGACGGGUGAGUAACACGUGGGUAACCUGCCUGUAAGACUGGGAUAACUCCGGGAAACCGGGGCUAAUACCGGAUAAUUUAGUUCCUCGCAUGAGGAACUGUUGAAAGGUGGCUUUUCCCUACCACUUACAAAUGGACCCGCGGCGCAUUACCUAUUUGGUGAGGUAACGGCUCACCAAGGCAACAAUGCGUACCCAACCUGAAAGGGUGAUCGGCCACACUGGGACUGAAACACGGCCCAAACUCCUACGGGAGGCACCAUUAGGGAAUCUUCCGCAAUGGACAAAAUUCUGACGGACCACCCCCCCGUGAUUGAAAAAGGUUUUCGGAUCGUAAAACUCUGUUGUUAGGGAAAAACAAUUGCCGUUCAAAUAGGGCGGCACCUUGACGGUACCUAACCAAAAAGCCACGGCUAACUACUUGCCACCACCCGCGGUAAUACUUAGGUGGCAAGCGUUGUCCGGAAUUAUGGGGCGUAAAGCGCGCGCAGGUGGUUUCUUAAUUCUGAUGUGAAAGCCCACGGCUCACCCGUGGAGGGUCAUUGGAAACUUGGGGGACCUUGAUUGCCAGAAGAGGAAGUGAUUUCCAGGUGUAGCGGGUGAAAUGCGUAGAUUAUUUGGAGGACCACCAGUGCGAGGCGACUUUCUGGUCUGUACUGACACUGAGGCCGCGAAGCGUGGGGGAGCAAACAGAUAGAUACCCUGUAGUCCACGCCGUAAACGAUGAUGCUACUGUAGAGGUUCCGCCUUUAUGCUGCAGCUACGCAUAGCACUCCGCUGGGAGUACGUCGCAGACUGACUCAUGAAUGACGGGCCGC